rnacentral:rRNA from 1 species
ACUGCACGCUUUCUUCAUUCCUUACGCAUGCAAGUCGAACGGCAGCACGGGUGCUUGCACCUGGUGGCGAGUGGCGAACGGGUGAGUAAUACAUCGGAACAUGUCCUGUAGUGGGGGAUAGCCCGGCGAAAGCCGGAUUAAUACCGCAUACGAUCUACGGAUGAAAGCGGGGGACCUUCGGGCCUCGCGCUAUAGGGUUGGCCGAUAGCUGAUUAGCUAGUUGGUGGGGUAAAGGCCUACCAAGGCGACGAUCAGUAGCUGGUCUGAGAGGACGACCAGCCACACUGGGACUGAGACACGGCCCAGACUCCUACGGGAGGCAGCAGUGGGGAAUUUUGGACAAUGGGCGAAAGCCUGAUCCAGCAAUGCCGCGUGUGUGAAGAAGGCCUUCGGGUUGUAAAGCACUUUUGUCCGGAAAGAAAUCCUUGGCUCUAAUACAGUCGGGGGAUGACGGUACCGGAAGAAUAAGCACCGGCUAACUACGUG